rnacentral:rRNA from 1 species
GAGGAAUAUUGGUCAAUGGGCGAGAGCCUGAACCAGCCAAGUAGCGUGCAGGAAGACGGCCCUAUGGGUUGUAAACUGCUUUUAUGUGGGGAUAAAGUGAGCUACGUGUAGUUUAUUGCAGGUACCACAUGAAUAAGGACCGGCUAAUUCCGUGCCAGCAGCCGCGGUAAUACGGAAGGUCCAGGCGUUAUCCGGAUUUAUUGGGUUUAAAGGGAGCGUAGGCCGUGGAUUAAGCGUGUUGUGAAAUGUAGACGCUCAACGUCUGAAUUGCAGCGCGAACUGGUUCACUUGAGUAUGCACAACGUAGGCGGAAUUCGUCGUGUAGCGGUGAAAUGCUUAGAUAUGACGAAGAACUCCGAUUGCGAAGGCAGCUUACGGGAGUACAACUGACGCUGAAGCUCGAAGGUGCGGGUAUCAAACAGGAUUAGAUACCCUGGUAGUCCGCACAGUAAACGAUGGAUGCCCGUUGUUAGUUCACUUAAGAAUUAGCGACCAAGCGAAAGCAUUAAGCAUCCCACCUGGGGAGUACGCUGGCAACGGUG